GGCGGGCGGCCCGGCCCUACCCGGCCCCCGCGGCCGCAUCUUCCCGGGGCAGCGGCCCCGCGCGCGGUUGCUACGGUGCGGUGCCAGAAAAGGUUCGCCCGCCCCCGAGACCGCGCGAGAGACAGGCAGAAGGGAGCUCCUGUUCGCUUGUCACUCCCGCAACGACAAAGUUUGACGUCGCCGCAUCAUGUCCCCUCCUGAGCAGACGUUUGAUCUUGCCUCUUAGCUUGGGCUGGGCUGGCUCAUGGUGAGACCCAAAGCUGAGCAUCACCUACACAGAGAGCUAGUUUACAAGAAGAAUUGACUCCAGGGUACUCUGGCAGUUCCAUGUCUAUGAUGUAGUCAUCAGAGUUGCAAAGGGCUCCAGGAAGCUUUCGGGCCAAGGAAAGGGCAGCAGGCUUGGAGAGCGCUCGCGGGCCUUGAUAUUUGACCUGUAAAAUUGAGGCCCUGGGCUCGACCAAAGCUCUGAACCUGGCUGCAGUUUAAAAUUACCUCGGGGAGAAAGCACAACGACUCAAAACCUAUGGGA